rnacentral:misc_RNA from 1 species
AAGUCGUAACAAGGUCUCCGUUGGUGAACCAGCGGAGGGAUCAUUACCAGAGUUUAUCUCGCAACCCUUUGUGAACUUAUAACGUUGCUUCGGCGGCGCUGCCCCCUGUGGGGAGUGCCCGCCGGCAGUACCAGCUUCUCGUUUUGGACCCGACGAUACUUCUGAGUGUUCUAAGCGAACUAUAAAAACUUUCAACAACGGAUCUCUUGGCUCUA